UUCAAGCUCUUUUAACUUCAAAUAUUCACCCGGAAUCACUCAUCGACACCUUCUGAAUCUAACUGAAGCAUUGCUUUGGCUUGGAACUCCUUGGAACCAUGUCUCAAAUCCACCAUUGUUGACCUUUGAAGCUCCAACUGGAAAGGUAGUUACGAGUUAAAUCCUUGAGCAAACAAGUUACCACACAUUUCACCUUACUCCACUGAUCAAAAGCCCUCA
rnacentral:lncRNA from 1 species